AGUCUGUUAGCUCUGUUAUCAUUUUCCUGACUCUGUUGCGUGCCUUGCCUUCUAUAUGCAAGUUUUGCUCCACGGGAAUCUUAAAGUGUGAUUUACUAUUCUAUUGCCAUAUGAUUAACUGAUUGAAAAAAAUGUGAAGGAAUUUUUACACCAUUUCUAAAGGGAUUAACAAGUAAAUCCUUUUGUUUAUAAAGGCCUUUAGGUGUGAACUAUUCUAUUGCCAUGUUGAACUGAUGCUUGCAGUUUGCACAGUUAUUGAUCUAACUCCAUUUCAACACGGUGAUGUGUGUCUUCCAGCACUGUCCAACUAGGAUUAGCUGGUCAGCAGCACUGACUUCCACAGCAUCCAAGGCGUUUGACGCGACCACGGCGUGGCGACCAAGGCACCGGACACGAUCACGUCAAUCCCACUGGUCACGAUCGCUUAUAGAUCGACCGCAUCUUGUGCUGGUCCUGAUGGAUCAACGUCCUCCAAUUGGAGAUUUAAGGAACGUAACCAGCUAGGGUGUUCGUUCUAAUAAUAAAAGCGCAAGUAUUCAUGAAGACGGGAUUAUCAUUAUUUUUUAUCAUUUUAAUUAUGCUUAUGAAGGAAUGGUAUGUACAUCUCAGCAAUUGGAAUUGUUAUCAGACUUCAAAAGAGGAAGUGUGCUACUGCUUUCUCAUCAGUUUAUUCAGUGGAAUGCUAGGUUUUAAGGAAGUAAAAGAUUAAAUUACUCAAUCGAAAAAGUCGUCGACUUAUUCAAGAUAUGAACUCCAAAUACAAUACUCAAAUUUGAUGGUCAGUGGGUGCAUGUGCAUUGUUCGUGUGCCUAGAUUGGUGAUGGAACAUUCCAGUCUGAAUGCAUGCUAAGAGAGAGCCUAUGCAAUUUCAAGGAGUCCCAGAAGAAACUGAAGUCUUCUUGGAGCUCUGCAAGUUCAACCAUAUCAAGCUGACAAGAUAAACAGGAAUCUUAGUCUAACUUAUUCAACCCCUAGGGUGGCACUGGAAACGACAAGGAUGCAGCACAAGAUGCUUGCCCAAAUGUUGCUGGAAGGGGCACAUUUAAGGUAUGAGUUUCGUGGUUCUGAAUCUUUUCUUUUUUGCCUGAUUACCAAUUUUGAAAGAAUUUCAGGUGUCUUAGUUCUGUCCCAGUUUAUGUUCUUUUCUGAAAAUGGGUAGUUUCGAAGAUAUCUGUUUGCAUCGUUAGGUUGUUAAGGGAAAAA